GGGGAGAUCGCAUAGCCUGGUUUAGUGCGCCGGUCUUGAAAACCGGUGAGGCGCAAGCCUCCGUGGGUUCAAAUCCCACUCUCUCCGCCA
rnacentral:tRNA from 1 species